GAGGCGAUUUGUCUCCUUUGUGUUUCCGUACAAUUGGAGUCUAUAAAAAGCGAGAAUGUUACGCAGUUGGAAACUGAUAAAGAUCGGGCUGCCAGUGGCUCUGCCUGGUGCUUUUUCCUUAAUGUCAGGAAGUGUCUUUGCUGCCAGUGAGGAUAAAGAAACUGAUCCCGCACUAAUGACAGAUGAGCUGUCUCUGUACACCACCCCACAAUCCCGAGUGCACUGUGUGAAACCAGAGGUUGGCUCUAUGGAGCAAGGUGUAGCAUCACUGAGGAAAUCAGCUGAGCCUUAUAUAACAUGGUGCCAGGAAAAGACGUCAUAUACAAUGAAUAAGGCUGAGGAAAAUUAUAAGACAUUAGAGCCUAGUAUAAACACAUCUGUGGAGACCAUAAGAGACACUUUUGAGUUUCUGAAUGAUCCUCCAUCUGAGUUCUACCCAUGUGUCGGUGUUCUGGGUUUCUCCGCAAUUCUUGGACUUUACCUGGCCAGAGGUGGAAAGGUGAAAAGAUUUCUCUACCCUGCUGGACUUAUGACUCUGAGUGCUUCCAUGUUUUACCCCCAGCAUGCAGCCUCACUGGCAAAGGCGAGUCAGCUCAGCUUUGUAUAUUCCACAUUAAAACAUGCAGCGAAUUCCCACAUCUACUUUUCUUUUUUAUUAUUAUUACUCAAACAGUUGCUCUGUCAUUUAAUUGAACACAAUUUGUAAUGUCAUUUUUUCAGGCAGGGAAGGAGCAGAUAUUGAGUUGGGGUUUGCAGGGUCAGGUGUUUUUGGAUGAGCUGUGGAAGGGAAAAUCAUCCGUUAAGGACGAGAAAUGAAGAGUCAGAGAUCACAGAUGGAUCAAGUGUUGAAGAGGAGAAAGCAGUAAGUGCUGUGACACUGCUGAGCAUAUUUAGACCUUCACUGCAUCACUGCACAUUCCACAUGUAAAUCUAAACAGAAGUAUUUUUACACUAUUAAUAAAACUGUAUUAAUAGAUUAUUAUUGUUUGAUAUUAGUGUAAAUGUUUAUACAGUUUUACUUGCACUAAUGUGUAUUAUUAGGUCAUACUUUAUCAUUCUUAACUGUUCAUUAUCACUCAAAGCACACUGGUAGUUGUAAGUCCCAGUGUGCCCAGUAGCACCAGUGCUGGGCCCUAGAGUUGAUCAUGAAUUUAUUUUGAUGUACAGUAUGUUUAUAUUUAAACAUUUAUUUAUUAUUUAAUAUGUAAUAAUGUAUUCAUUCUGUGUUUACUGAGUUCUAAUAAAACCUGACUUUCUCAUUGUU